rnacentral:sRNA from 1 species
AAGAAUGUGAACUUAGGAAGAAGAGAGUGAAGA